GCGCAGUAGUCUUUAUGGGCGCUGAGGUCAAGGAGGAGGGGAGAGCCUGCUCACGUGUGUCUUCGUGGGGGCAGGGGACACUUCUGGCCUUAGAAACACGGCAGAGGUUCUUAGUUGGGAUUGGUGGACACCGUGACAACCUAGAGUGACUCUGGACUGGCUGAAGGGACACAGUGCUGCACACUGACUUAGAAGGGGUCUGCCCCAUGAAUCUGGCUGGCUUGACCUUUCUUUUCAUCCUGCAGUUCAGAGAGCCUGGUUUCCUUGCCAUGGACAGAAGUCACGAUACGGCUGAGCACUAAGAAGAGGAAAGCGAUAUGAUACAGAAGGAAAUCCUGCCCAGUGAAAUUGCCUCAGCAUUAACUUCCCUAUUAAAACAGGGUAUUGGGCAAGAUGGCCUAUGCCUGUAAUCCCAGAACUCAAGAACGAGCAGGGGGAAGAGGGCCCCAAGCCUGGGCUAGCUGGUGAGCUCUAGGCCAGUAAAUCGCACAUAUGAAUGUGCAUAUGUACACAUAUAUACAUAUUAUAUAAAGUAAGACGCACAUGGCAUUGUGUAUUCCAAGUUGUUGCCUUGAGUUUAGGGCCAGGGUCCAUAGAAAGAUAUACUUUAAGUCUUAGAAUCCACUUAGAGGGAGCCUGUCCCCAGGAAGCAUCUUCAUUCUCCCAGUUCCUCACCCCCCCCCCCCCCAUGUGGUGUGGAAGCUGUUGCCAGGCUGGGUUGCCAGGCAUGGUUUUAACUCAAUGUUGGAAGGUCACCGAGCUAGCCAGUGCUGGCUAAGAGUAAGUCACCCCACUCAGUGUAAGAUGAGCUGCCUUAAGGUACGGGGGUGUGCCUGCACACAACAGCAAGGCCUUUCAGGACGCCCACAGUGCCUUCCCACACUUACUUGGAAACCCAGACUGACACCUCUGGGCAGCUGUGGGAAGGGUCCCCUGGUGAGAAGAAACCUGUCACUUAAACGUCAGUGACUCCUUUUUGAGGUCCUGCUCUGGUUAGGAGGGGCACUGGGGGGAGAUUAGUUGGUGGGAUAAAGUGACAUUUUUUCUGUAUGCUUCCUUAAUCUCUCAUCGUUCCAGGUCCCCACAGACGGGCAUGUCCUGGCAGAUGCCUGGGGUCCUGGACAGAGGAGCACACAGUUUGCGAGCAUCUGUUCUGUGUGAGGCAUGAGUCCUGGCUUCUGGCCCCCUGCCCCAGAACCUUAUAGGGUCUGGGGAAGACUGGCAUUGGUAUUUGUAAGUACAAACAGUGCUCAGUUCUCCAAAGGGAAAAGACAGAAUCCCAGCGGACUAUACCUGAAGCCUAGUUCAUGCUACUCUGGAGAGAAUGGUUGUCUGAAGAGCUGCCAUUUAAGUUGGAAACUGGCCGGAGGAGGUAUGAGCCAGAAUCAGUGUGGGAGAGAGCAUUCCAGCGGAAGGGAAAAGCAAGGGAAAAGCGUUUGUCUCACCUCCAGCCUUCCACAAAGAACCAAAGCAGCCCUUCUUAGCUAAAAAUAAGUUGUCCCUGCCAGGAGAGGGUCCCCAGAGAGAGACCCCAGAGACGAGUCUAUGACUCCCUCUGUGCGCCGCCCCACAGGAUACGCAGGCCCGGUGGUCUUCAAACUGUGGCUCCAGACCUUCCCCAGCUAAUUUCACCUCCCUGGAGCGUGUCUCCAGCGUGGCGCAGCUCCCGAGCUGGGCGCCCGCCAGUCAGUCUGGCCAGGCAAGGAACUAUUUUGGGAAUUUUUAUGAUGGAACAAUAUUUUUUGGGUAAACAGCGGAGAGCUGUUAAGCGGGGAUGCUCACCCCUAGCUUCUGGUUCACCUUUCUCCACGCGGAAGUGUGGUACUGUCAAGGAGGAACAAUAUCCCCGGGCUGCCUACUGCCCUGCACACGCCUCAUCGUUUCUCCAGGGUAAAUGUUCAUAGAAAUCAAUCAAUUCCAUGCCUUGUAUUCCUUGGAAACAACACCCUUGGUGUAGCCCCGGGGUGAUGGUGGGCUGGUCCCAACCUCAUGAACCCCUCAGGGCCUUAGGCUCAGCUGGCCUCAGAAUGCCAGCCCUGGAGGAGACCUUGGAAGACAUUUGUCUCCUCCUUUCCCCCUUGAGGGGACCAAGGCUUUCUCGAAGUCACUAGCCUAUCAACUUCAGGGGAGGAUGGAGUCUUAGCUGUCAGCCACUGACGCUUUGCUUUCUUCAAGGAGAAAAAGGCAAAGUCAGCAGCGAGAGUGCCAGAUACACUCAGAGAACAGAGAAUAUGUUGAGUCCCUGGGUACCGACCACGCCCCACCUCACGGGAGCACCAGCCCUCUGUCGCCACCGGACCCAGCAACCUGGCCUCCCUGGGACCAGCAACCAGCGUCACUUGCAUCGGUCUGAUCCCGCUGGGGAGGCCAGGACUCCCUGUGUUCCGAGAGUCAGCCCCUACCCAAGCCUCAUUUCUAGAGCGCUUUAUUAUCUCUCAUUCUAUUCUGUGGCCCCGGAGCAUCACGGGAAGCGCUGGGUCUGAUUUUCUCAGACUGCCCGUGCUUAUGUUUUGAUGUUUGAACUCAAAGAAAGAUGAUUAAGGCCCCCGGCUGAAAAGAGUAACAAUUGUUAGCUGGUGGCAGUACUCAGUUGGUAAAGUGCUGGUGUAGGAGAGCGCCAUUCUCUUUCUCACAGCGGCGGAUGAGGCCCAUUGGAGAAGCACCUUGGCCGCAGCCAAGGGAGCCCUGCAUGAGGAUGGCAGUCACGGUGAGACAGUGUGCUUAACUUAAGCCUUGUCACUGCAGCAGCGAAACCAAUUGAAAUUCAUUCAGCAGACUGAACAGGAUUGACUAAUUUUCUGAUACUGGUCUUGGACAAGUCACUUUUUUCUGGGUGGAAGCUCUGCCUGAACUCCUCUUCCCUCUCCAGCCGGCCAAGGGGCAGCUCCUCCCCUUCAGAUGCUCAAGACCACGCCUAAAGGGUCUCAGUUCCUGCAUCUGUAGGGCGGGAUGCCGUACCUCUUUUCCUAGCGGCCGCGGGAAGCCUCUAAGUGCCCGCAGAGGUGGCUUGGAUUAGGAAGAGGAACUGAAGAGCAGGAUCAAGGUGUGUGGGGAGCAUCUUCAGUGAGAUUGGAUGUCAGUCUCCUGCUGCCGAAUGGUUGUUACCGCUGUGUGAAGAUGGGUCACUGUGAUUGGUUUAAUAAAGAGCCGAUGGCCAAUAGCAGGAGAGAUAGGUGGGAUUUCCGGGGGGAGAGAGAAGAGGAGGAGGAAUCUAUGCAUGGGGAUUACACCAGCGAUGCCAGGGAGACAUGAAGAGAUCGGACGUACAGUACAGAGUAGAAGUAAUUGAGCCAUGUGGCAGAAUGUAGAUUAAAAAAAUGAGUUAAUUAAGUUAUAAGAGCUAUUUGGGUAAAAGCCUAAGCUAAGACCAAGCUUUCAUAAUUAAUAAGAAGUCUCCAUGUUGUUAUUUGGGGGGGGGGUGGCGAUUCAAAGAAAGUCUGGUGAGAAAACUCACUAGUCUCCCAUCACCGCACCACUUCCUCCUCAAGAGCUUGUGAGGACCUAGAUUAUUCUGACAGUCCCAGUUAAUCAGAGCUAGGGUAGGCCCUGUGGCCAUGCACCAUCGGCCGGGACACAAUUCUCCCCUGCCUUCCAUACACUCAGGAACUAGAGUUUAUCUUGGCUGUGAUGGGCCAGGCCUAAGGGAGCAGUCCUGAUAGAAACUCUCAUACAAUUGUAAGGAUGGAAUGUGCUGAACCCAGUUGCGUCUCAUUAAAAUGCCACGCAGGGCGAGCGUUUGAAUUUCACAUUCACGGCGCUUGAAUGUUUUAAUUCACACGAAACCCAUAAGCACCGAGGUGCAAUAACUGGCAGGGCCUGGGCCACUAAUUUAGGAUGAAGUGUGCCGGAUGGUGACAGCAAUGUUGACAGGACAUAUCGGCUCCGUAGUUUGUGGGAGGCCCCAGCUCAGGAGGGACCCCACCACCCCACGGACUGACUCACCGUUAGCACCGCUUAGUUUUUCUCAGGAAACCCAAUACUGGGCUGCUUUGUGAUCUGUGAAGGAUAGUGAAGGGUGAUCCGUAGAGAAGAGAGCUAGGGUGUCCUGGGACACGGGGAAGAAAGAGGACAAUGUGUCAGAA